GACUUCUAGGUUUAAAAUCAGCACACAGAAUAAAACGAUUAGCGUCUGAAAGCUCUAUGAACAUCAUGUAAUGACAUAUAAAAGUUACAUUUGAAAUAUCAUUUUUAAGGGUAUUCAACUAUUAAGAAAUGCAAUAAUAUGAGACGACACCAAUAUAUAAAGUUCUGGAGUUUUGUGGCUCUCCAAUUUUUUUUAUGUCGAUUAUAUUUUAGAAUGUUUGGGAUAUCAUGGACAUCACUGUACCUCGCCAUGUUCACCUGGGUUUUACGGAUUUGGAUGUAGACUGAACUGUAGUUGUAUCCCUUGUAAUAAUAUCAAUGGUUCUUGUGAAAACAGGGCUAAGGAUUUUUUCCUGUAUGAAAGAAGCCAAUCUGGUGAAACAUUAUGGCUGCCUGUUUUGCUGGGAGUAUUUGCAAUCGUGGGAUCUUUAGCUGCUGUGCUGUUUUUUAUGAAUCUGAAAAAAAGGCGUAAUACCCAGGAUCCAAAUACCCAUGGCCAGGAGCAGUCUAACUAUGUCGAAGAAUUGUACCUACCACGUGUAUACGAUCAACUAAAAAUAGACGAUAGGUCUCCGGUGUACUGUGACGUCAUUGAGAGUGAAGAAGACAAAACACCAAAUAUCUAUACAGAGUGUGUGUAAUCAUGCGUCCUUUAAUGCGAUUUCGGCGUAAUAAAGCCAAUGGAGAAUAUUUAGACUGACGUGUGUACAUAUACUAACAUCGUCCGUGACAUUUUUAUGCAAAUUAUGUACCUUUCUACCAUAAUACUGAAUAUAACAUUAAUUUCUGGGUUUAGUGGUCUAUGUAUGUUAUUUUCAAUUUAAAUAUGUUCAAAAUUAUCGGUAUUUUUCAAUUUAUGUACUAAACUUUUUAAAAAUUUUGUUUGGUACCAAUUUUGGAAAAAAACUAUAGUAUUUUUUGGGAGUUGAUUUUAAUCAACUCUCCUAUGCAGUUACUCAGACAGACCGAAAGUGAAACACUUUUUGGACCUUAGCACAAAUCAUUGCUGCUGACAAGACUUAGUUCUUGAAAAUAAUUGAUGAAUUCGAUGCAAUGUAUGCUAAAGCAUUGUUUUUCAAGAAAACUUAUUUAUAAAUACCUUGAAAAUAGUCAGAUUUUAAAUGGUACGAACAAUUUAUUUUUAACAAAUAUAUUUUUUUGUAGUUGUAUGUAUUCCUUCGCCAGAGUUCAAUAUAGUCUCGUUCAACUCGACGCUCGGCUGUCUCCGUAAAUCCUUGUCGGAGAUUUACGGUGUCAGCCGAGCGUUUUGUUGAACGAGACUAGGGUUCAAUAUUGCUUGGAUCCAUACAAUUUUCGAGAAAUAUUUCUAUCACUGAUACAUAGUUUGAUUGAAUUCAUUUUAUCAUAAAAAUUAUUUAACAUAUACCCUUACCAAAAUGAAUUGUUUGCGGCAAAUUUGCAGCAAACUUGCUGCAAAUUUUCGGCAAACUGAUUGGUUUACCAGAAAACUUUAGAACUUGUUUGCCGAUCUUUGCCAGUAGUAGCAAACUUCUGGUAAACCUCUUUUAUUAAGACAGAAGUUUUCCAAACACCCAAUUAUGUUUGCAGCAUCUUCGCCAGUAGUGGCAAACUUUUGGCAAACUCCUCAAAAUUUGCCAGAAGCUUACCACAAACAUUUCUUGUUUUUUCUCUGUUUUAUUUUCUUCCUGAGCUCGCCAAAGCUUUACCAGAAAUGAUACUUAUACAAUUUUAUAUACACAUUCAGCACAACUUUAAGACUGUCAAUUAUAAUGAAUUGCUUUUAUAAUUUUGUAUAUUUGUAA